rnacentral:lncRNA from 1 species
UAGUUGCCAACUCCUGUACGAAAAUGUAACUGUCAAGUGAUGCGUGGGUAGCCGAUGGAUGCUCCGGCGCUUUGUUUUCUGCACCGAAUGGGUGAUCCAGUGACCAGUGGUGUAUCUGUCGUCACAUUAGAAUCUACAAUAGAACUGUAGAAGGGAUCAGUUAGCCCGUGACAGGGGUCGAAUCGCAGAGAGGUUCCCUUGAAGAAGGAAAGCCCAAAACUUCAAAGUGGGUCGGCAUCAGAUAAGAGGAUUUCGUGCGG